rnacentral:misc_RNA from 1 species
CGAGCUGGCAGUGGGACGGCGUCGUAUUUUUGAUAAUCCCUAUUUUCGUUUACGAGGAUCCGCUCACCGCAAGUGGAAAAGGAUUCCUUGAUCCCGGAAAUAAUUUUUCUACUUUCAAUCACAUUCACGGUACACGGGACCACAACGGAGAAGUAGAAAAGAAGAAAGGAACAGGACCAAGCGUUCCUCCCUUCUAAGCUUGCCAACAAUGGCGGCGACGAAGCGCAAAGGAACCAACUCUGACUCUGAUGGAAUGAACGCAAGGGUUUGGCUUUAUUCAAUUUUACUCACUCUUCAAUACGGAGCUCAGCCUCUGAUCUCCAAGCGUUUCACCAGGUAAGUUUCUUUUAUUUCAACUAGUUGUUCCGUUUCUUUCAUUUCAACUACUUGUUCCGUUGCUUUCAAAACGAUCGUGCAGCAAUGGAAUUAGAUGCCCAUGAAGAGUAUAGCUGUAAUUAAUUAUUUGAAAUUUGUCACAAUCUCUGUUGAAUCUGCAUCAAGUGAAAGAAUAAAAGCCUAAAUAAGGAAAAUUUUACGAAAAAAAAGAAGGGAUGGAAAUUCAUUUCCCUUUCCAUCUAUGUGUUUGGUGAGAUAGGAAAAAAGGGAGAACACCAGUUUAAUAGUCGUAAAAUUCAUUAUUAUUCUUUUACCUUCCCGUUCCGCUUCCUUUGGGACGGAAAGAAAAAGGUUUGGUGGAUUUUCAAGGAGAGUAACUGGAGACUGCAUGUAUGCAAAUUUGAAUUUGGUUUUGAACAUGUAUGUUUGUUUGCCCAAAUGUGGUUGCAGCAUGAUAACCCCAAAGCAAAAAUGAUCUACCGUUAUCAUUACUUUUGGCAUCAUUACUUUUUGCUUACUUCAUUGGACUGAUUACAAGAUGCUCUAUAUGUUUUGGGUGAUUUCACUUGAUUGUAUAUGGUGUCUGAGACUCUGAUUCACAUGUUGCAACUUCACCUGAUUUUUGGGCAAGUCAAUUGAGUAAAUUCAUAAUGGAGUUUAAAUAUGAUAUGCUUUGGAGUUUAGUAUGAACCAUUUUGUAUACAUAUUUUUACCUCUCUCUCCAGAUUAUGUGUUCAAAUCUAUGAGCUAAAAUGCGGGACACAUGGAAACUUGGGUUUGCAUAUCCAACCUUGCUUUUAAUUGUUUAUUUCAAGUCACAACCACCUUGGCAUUCUUCCUGUGGAUGAAAAUGUGUCAUUAUGUUAGAUAUGUUUUAUUAGUGGUUGAUAGGAAAAGCUUUAGCUUUUAUAUCUUAUUAUACUGCCUUGAAGGUUGCAGCUUCAGUAUUUGACCAAUUGCCUUGAGACCAAAUGAUAUAGGAUCUCAAGUAUCAGGUUUGAGCUUGAAGCACAUGUGGGGAGUGUUGCAGCAUCCCAUCUGUGGAAUUAUGGGAGUUUUGCAUUCUUGAUUGUGUUCUUGACAGGAUCUAUGGGCCAUUUUCUCACUUUCUAUCCAAAAUCAAGUUUAGUGUAUUUAGUACAUAAAUUGGUCAUGCUAGUUUUUAUUCCUUUUAUGUUAAGAAUGAAUGAUUGGCGUGUCAUCCUAUGAAAUGCUAGUGAACUCAUUGUGCAUUUUCAUG